CCCCCUCGGUCUUGGAGGAGAGAAGGUGAAGGUAGAGCCCUUAAACCCACCUCAAACUGGUCAAAAAAACCUUGGAACCUCCUCAGAUACCCCAACCGCCAGACGGGGAACACCCACUUUAAAACGUAAGAGGCAACUAUCCAUUUUGGUGAAGCUACAAUCUACCGCCCUGAGGUAUCAAGAAGCCAUCAACAAAAACUUAUCCGGAUCAAUUAAAGCCCGGAGGAUUAUGACAGAAGCGGUGGAGAGUAUUCAGAAAAUUCCACUUUCCGGUC